rnacentral:rRNA from 1 species
AUUGAACGCUGGCGGCAUGCCUUACACAUGCAAGUCGAACGGCAGCGCGGGAGCAAUCCUGGCGGCGAGUGGCGAACGGGUGAGAAUACAUCGGAACGUGCCCAAUCGUGGGGGAUAACGCAGCGAAAGCUGUGCUAAUACCGCAUACGAUCUACGGAUGAAAGCAGGGGAUCGCAAGCCUUGCGCGAAUGGAGCCGGCC